GAUGAACGCUGGCGGCGUGCCUAAUACAUGCAAGUCGAGCGAACAGAUGAGGAGCUUGCUCCUCUGACGUUAGCGGCGGACGGGUGAGUAACACGUGGAUAACCUACCUAUAAGACUGGGAUAACUUCGGGAAACCGGAGCUAAUACCGGAUAAUAUAUUGAACCGCAUGGUUCAAUAGUGAAAGACGGUUUUGCUGUCACUUAUAGAUGGAUCCGCGCCGCAUUAGCUAGUUGGUAAGGUAACGGCUUACCAAGGCAACGAUGCGUAGCCGACCUGAGAGGGUGAUAGGCAACACUGGAACUGAGACACGGUCAAGACUACUACGGGAGGCAGCAGUAGGGAAUCUUCCGCAAUGGGCGAAAGCCUGACGGAGCAACGCCGCGUGAGUGAUGAAGGUAUUCGGAUCGUAAAACUCUGUUAUUAGGGAAGAACAAAUGUGUAAGUAACUAUGCACGUCUUGACGGUAACUAGUCAGAAAGCCACGGCUAACUACGUG
rnacentral:rRNA from 1 species